AGGAAACUUUCUUGUCAGUAUUGUGUAUUAUAUCUCUGAAGAUAAAUGAAAAGGCAAGUCAUUGUCAGAGCCGCCCCCUAUAUUCAUCAUCAAGAAUAAAAGCAAAGAUAAAAGCGAGAGAAAAGAGAAGAAAAGAAAAGAAGGCUACCUUCUUUUCUAGUUUACCUUUCCCGUUGUUUGUAUGUUUGUUUGGUGGAUUAGGUUUCUUAGAAGUGUUCAGAAACCAUAAACAAACAAAACCCAGUUGCUAUUUAUCCUCCUUUACAAGGCUCUUUUUGUUCUUUGUGAGAUGGAGAUGAUGUAUUAUCAGUUGGCCAAGUCUUCUUACCAGGAAUCGCUCAAAGUUUUGGAGGCCGAUAUACAGCAUGCAAAUGAUCUGGCUGCUUCAAUUCCAAGAGCAAAAGGUGGCACACGUCUUCAAAUGAAAUUGGUUUACAAUCACUUUGCUCCCCUCUUUUGGUUUUUGUUACAAUGGAUGAAUUCUUCCUGUGUAUGUCUACCGCCCAGAUAUCUAAACCUCUUCAACAUACUUGUAUAUAAGGUAUAUGCUGACGGUCAAUCAAGACUAUCUUCACACGGAAGGAAGGCCACAAUUAGGGAAUUCUAUGGCAUUAUAUUACCAUCUCUUCAACGGCUUCAUGGUAGUUUGGGUGAGUAUGGUGAUGCUGAGGAAAGGCAUACUGACAUUUUGCGUUUUGAUAGAAGAAGAGUGGAAGGAGAUAGCCGUUUUUCCAAAGUUGAUUUGGAGAGAGAAGACGAAUGUGGUAUCUGCUUAGAGCCCUGUACAAAAAUGGUGUUGCCUAAUUGUUGUCAUGCAAUGUGCAUGAAAUGCUACCGCAAUUGGAACACAAAGUCUGAGUCAUGUCCUUUUUGUCGUGGUAGUUUAAAGAGAGUCAACUCGGAAGACUUAUGGGUGCUUACUUGUGAUGACGAUGUGAUUGAUCCUGAAACAGUUUCCAAAGAAGACUUGUUGCGUUUCUACCUCUAUAUCAAUAGCCUGCCGAAAUAUUGUCCAGAUGCUCUCUUUUUAGUGUAUUAUGAACACUUAAUCUGAUUAGGAACGUAUGAGAAGAAUGAUGUACAGAUAGGAAGGCCGACCUGUAAAAGUAAAUAGAGUCUGGUUUUACUUGGAUUAGGUAGGAUAAUGAUGUGUCAAUAAAUGGAAUCCCAUUUAUUGCUUCAAAUCUCCUUU